rnacentral:sRNA from 1 species
CCCCCGGUAUUAUUGGCGUUAUGGGUUGCGAACGAGCUUAGCGUUGUUCAUUUUUUUUCACAACACCCCCGUAAAAAAUACAACACGCCCCACCGAACAUUUCAUUUGAGGGCCUUCAAGGACAGAAAAAACGCCCCAAAAUGCAACAAAAAUAGCUUCAAGGCGCCAAAUCAGGGCAA